AGAGCGAACGCUGGCGGCAGGCUUAACACAUGCAAGUCGAGCGCCCCGCAAGGGGAGCGGCAGACGAGAGAGUAACACGUGGGAACGUACCUUUCGGUUCGGAACAACCCAGGGAAACUUGGGCUAAUACCGGAUACGCCCGCAAGGGGAAAGAUUUAUCGCCGGAAGAUCGGCCCGCGUCUGAUUAGCUAGUUGGUGAGGUAACGGCUCACCAAGGCGACGAUCAGUAGCUGGUCUGAGAGGAUGAUCAGCCUCACUGGGACUGAGACACGGCCCAGACUCCUACGGGAGGCAGCAGUGGGGAAUAUUGGACAAUGGGCGCAAGCCUGAUCCAGCCAUGCCGCGUGGGUGAUGAAGGCCCUAGGGUUGUAAAGCCCUUUCGGCGGGGAAGAUAAUGACGGUACCCGCAGAAGAAGCCCCGGCUAACUUCGUGCCAGCAGCCGC
rnacentral:rRNA from 1 species